rnacentral:misc_RNA from 1 species
GAUGAAGAACGUAGCGAAAUGCGAUAAGUAAUGUGAAUUGCAGAAUUCAGUGAAUCAUCGAAUCUUUGAACGCACAUUGCGCCCCUUGGUAUUCCGAGGGGCAUGCCUGUUCGAGCGUCAUAUUAACCACUCCCGCUUGCGGGGUCUUGGGCUUCGCCUCCGGGCGGGCCUUAAAAUCAGUGGCGGUGCCGUCGGGCUCUACGCGUAGUAAAUUUUCUCGCGAUAGGGUCCCGGUGGAUGCUUGCCAACAACCCCCAACUUCUUAAGGUUGACCUCGGAUCAGGUAGGGAUACCCGCUGAACUUAAGCAUAUCAAUAAGCGGAGG